rnacentral:rRNA from 1 species
GCAUAAUCAAUUGUCUUUUAAUUAAAGGCUUGUAUGAAUGGUUGAAUGAGAUAUAAUCUAUUUUUAUUUUAAUAUAAAUGAAUUUAUAUUUUUAGUAAAAAUACUAAAUUGAUAACAAAAGACGAGAAGACCCUAUAAAUCUUUAUUUUAUUUUAAAUUUAAAAUAUUAAGUAGACUAAAUUUAAUUUUUAAUAUAAAAUUUUAUUGGGGUGAUAAUGAAAUUUAAAUAACUUUUAUUUAUUUUUAUUAAUAUAAUUAAAUUUUUGAUCCCAUUAAUAAUGAUUAUAAAAUUAAGUUACUUU